rnacentral:rRNA from 1 species
CCUUCCGUAGGGUGAACCUGCGGAAGGAUCAUUACCGAGUGAGGGCCCUCUGGGUCCAACCUCCCACCCGUGUCUAUCGUACCUUGUUGCUUCGGCGGGCCCGCCGUUUCGACGGCCGCCGGGGAGGCCUUGCGCCCCCGGGCCCGCGCCCGCCGAAGACCCCAACAUGAACGCUGUUCUGAAAGUAUGCAGUCUGAGUUGAUUAUCGUAAUCAGUUAAAACUUUCAACAACGGAUCUCUUGGUUCCGGCAUCGAUGAAGAACGCAGCGAAAUGCGAUAAGUAAUGUGAAUUGCAGAAUUCAGUGAAUCAUCGAGUCUUUGAACGCACAUUGCGCCCCCUGGUAUUCCGGGGGGCAUGCCUGUCCGAGCGUCAUUGCUGCCCUCAAGCACGGCUUGUGUGUUGGGCCCCCGUCCCCCUCUCCCGGGGGACGGGCCCGAAAGGCAGCGGCGGCACCGCGUCCGGUCCUCGAGCGUAUGGGGCUUUGUCACCUGCUCUGUAGGCCCGGCCGGCGCCAGCCGACACCCAACUUUAUUUUUCUAAGGUUGACCUCGGAUCAGGUAGGGAUACCCGCUGAACUUAAGCAUAUCAAUAAGCUGAGGAACAUU